rnacentral:rRNA from 1 species
ACGCGAAAGUCCCGCAAGGGGCAAGUAGAGUGGCAAACGGGUGAGUAACGCGUGGGUGACCUGCCUUCGAGCGGGGGAUAACGUUCCGAAAGGGACGCUAAUACCGCAUGACAUCCUGCCUUUGGAGAGGCGGAGAUCAAAGCUGGGGAUCGCAAGACCUAGCGCUUGAAGAGGGGCCCGCGCCUGAUUAGCUAGUUGGUGGGGUAACGGCUCACCAAGGCAACGAUCAGUAUCCGGCCUGAGAGGGCGGACGGACACACUGGGACUGAGACACGGCCCAGACUCCUACGGGAGGCAGCAGUGGGGAAUUGUUCGCAAUGGGCGCAAGCCUGACGACGCAACGCCGCGUGGAGGACGAAGAUCUUCGGGUCGUAAACUCCUGUCGAGCGGGACGAACGCUUCGCGGGUAAAUAACUCGCGGAAUUGACGGUACCGCUAAAGGAAGCCCCGGCUAACUCCGUGCCAGCAGCCGCGGUAAUACGGGGGGGGCAAGCGUUGUUCGGAAUUACUGGGCGUAAAGGGCUCGUAGGUGGCCAACUAAGUCGGAUGUGAAAUCCCCAGGCUCAACUUGGGAACUGCAUCCGAUACUGGAUGGCUUGAAUCCGGGAGAGGGAUGCAGAAUUCCAGGUGUAGCGGUGAAAUGCGUAGAUAUCUGGAGGAAUACCGGUGGCGAAGGCGGCAUCCUGGACCGGCAUUGACACUGAGGAGCGAAAGCCAGGGGAGCAAACGGGAUUAGAUACCCCGGUAGUCCUGGCCCUAAACGAUGAAUGUUUGGUGUGACGGGUAUCGAUCCCUGUCGUG